GUGCCAGCAGCCGCGGUAAGACGAACCGUGCGAACGUUGUUCGGAAUCACUGGGCUUAAAGGGCGCGUAGGCGGGCGGUCAAGUCAGGGGUGAAAUCUUUCAGCUCAACUGGAAAAUGGCCUCUGAUACUGGCCGCCUGGAGGGGGGUAGGGGCAUGUGGAACUUCCGGUGGAGCGGUGAAAUGCGUAGAGAUCGACUAGAACACCGGUGGCGAAGGCGAGUCUCUGGACAGUUCCUGACGCUCAGGCACGAAAGCCAGGGGAGCAAACGGGAUUAGAUACCCGCGUAGUCC
rnacentral:rRNA from 1 species